rnacentral:rRNA from 1 species
ACGGAAGGCAGCAGUGGGGGAUAUUGCACAAUGGGGGAAACCCUGAUGCAGCGACGCCGCGUGAGUGAUGAAGUAUUUCGGUACGUAAAGCUCUAUCAGCAGGGAAGAUAAUGACGGUACCUGACUAAGAAGCCCCGGCUAACUACGUGCCAGCAGCCGCGGUAAUACGUAGGGGGCAAGCGUUAUCCGGAUUUACUGGGUGUAAAGGGAGCGUAGACGGCAGAGCAAGUCUGAAGUGAAAACCCGGGGCUCAACUCCGGGAUUGCUUUGGAAACUGUUUAGCUAGAGUGCAGGAGAGGUAAGUGGAAUUCCUAGUGUAGCGGUGAAAUGCGUAGAUAUUAGGAGGAACACCAGUGGCGAAGGCGGCUUACUGGACUGUAACUGACGUUGAGGCUCGAAAGCGUGGGGAGCAAACAGGAUUAGAUACCCUGGUA